rnacentral:rRNA from 1 species
UAGUCCACGCCGUAAACGAUGGGUGCUAGGUGUGGGCGGUGUCGACUCCGUCCGUGCCGAAGCUAACGCAUUAAGCACCCCGCCUGGGGAGUACGGCCGCAAGGCUAAAACUCAAAGGAAUUGACGGGGGCCCGCACAAGCAGCGGAGCAUGUGGUUUAAUUCGACGCGACGCGAAGAACCUUACCAAGGCUUGACAUGUACCGGAAUGUCGUAGAAAUACGGCAGCCCUUCGGGGCCGGUAUAC